GACGAACGCUGGCGGCGUGCUUAACACAUGCCAGUCGAACGGAAAGGCCCUGCUUGCAGGGUACUCGAGUGGCGAACGGGUGAGUAACACGUGGGUGAUCUGCCCUGCACUUCGGGAUAAGCUUGGGAAACUGGGUCUAAUACCGGAUAGGAGCCAUCUUUAGUGUGGUGGUUGGAAAGUUUUUUCGGUGUAGGAUGAGCUCGCGGCCUAUCAGCUUGUUGGUGGGGUAAUGGCCUACCAAGGCGGCGACGGGUAGCCGGCCUGAGAGGGUGUACGGCCACAUUGGGACUGAGAUACGGCCCAGACUCCUACGGGAGGCAGCAGUGGGGAAUAUUGCACAAUGGGCGCAAGCCUGAUGCAGCGACGCCGCGUGGGGGAUGAAGGCCUUCGGGUUGUAAACUCCUGUCGCUAGGGACGAAGCUUUUUUGUGACGGUACCUAGAGAAGAAGCACCGGCUAACUACGUG
rnacentral:rRNA from 1 species